rnacentral:rRNA from 1 species
GAAACUGGAAAACUUGAGUGCAGAAGAGGAAAGUGGAAUUCCAUGUGUAGCGGUGAAAUGCGCAGAGAUAUGGAGGAACACCAGUGGCGAAGGCGACUUUCUGGUCUGUAACUGACGCUGAUGUGCGAAAGCGUGGGGAUCAAACAGGAUUAGAUACCCUGGUAGUCCACGCCGUAAACGAUGAGUGCUAAGUGUUAGGGGGUUUCCGCCCCUUAGUGCUGCAGCUAACGCAUUAAGCACUCCGCCUGGGGAGUACGACCGCAAGGUUGAAACUCAAAGGAAUUGACGGGGACCCGCACAAGCGGUGGAGCAUGUGGUUUAAUUUGAAGCAACGCGAAGAACCUUACCAAAUCUUGACAUCCUUUGACCCUUCUAGAGAUAGAAGUUUCCCCUUCGGGGGACAAAGUGACAGGUGGUGCAUGGUGU